rnacentral:tRNA from 4 species
GCCAGAGUAGCUCAGGGGUAGAGCAGAGGACUCAUAAGCCUUUGGUCGGGGGUUCAAUUCCCUCCUCUGGCACCA